CUGCAGGUCCGAGAGGCUGUUUCUGAAGAGACUGUGAAGUUAGAUAGCAGUUCCUAUUUUCUGUAAGUAAACAUCUGCUGUAGAAGCAACUCCAAACCUACAAACACACCCACUUUUUCACAGUAAGCCUCAGCGCUAGAUAGGAUCAGUGAGGUAUCUGCGCUGGAUUGCAGUCAUUUUAAAAUACGUCUUUAAAUCUGUUCCUUCGUGCAUUUCAAUCUCUGCAUGUGAACCGGCGGCUUGGUUCGCAAGCAACAGUUAUCGCCCACUGAAAAACACACCUUCCUUAAACAAAAGAUACUUUUUGUUCCCACGAAGCUUUUUCUGCUGCCAUACCCAGCAACAAAUGACACAAAAGACAAACUCCGCCAUCCUCAAGAGUGGUGCCAGGCAAACAGAAACAGCAAACAAUAUAACAGCAAAAGCUUCAGAAACAAAAACAAGCACCCGGAGAGUGCACAGCACGCAAAAUCGAGUUUUGUGACUAAGACUGAUUGAAUGAGAGUAACACAAGUUUGUUCGGGACACAGUGGGGCCACUCAACCAAAUCCGGAAAUUAUACAAACGAUAAAUAACAACUCCUUAAAAUGUUUUAAGUGCGUUUGGCACAAAAGUUUAUGGUUAUUCACAGGAAGCAUCUUAUCAAUUUAAUAUCACCACGUUGCAGGCUGUGCACCCGUCUCGUCAUAAUCUCUUUUAAGAAAACCGCUAAUGACCAGGAGUGCUGGAAGCCUAAAAACUGUUGUCAUCUAUCUCCCAGGACUGUGGGCCUGAUAGUGUCACGAGUAGAAACCAACUAGCGGCCAGAAGCCCAGGAGUCCCCGGCGAAUUGUUUCGAAGCACAGUCCCCACAAUCCGCGUGCUUGGGCGAAAGGACUGGAGGUGUGUGCGCGGUCCCUCCGCCCUCCGGGCCGCGCGUCCGCAGCGCUCCAGGCUGUCAGGACUCCUCUGCUGUCCAGCAGGUUCUGCUGUGUCCCCAACCAUGUACAACAGGAAGUGCUGUAACUUGGACUCUAGGGUUUCAAACUCGGAAACUGUUAGCCCCAUCCUUCAUCCUAUGGGUAGAAAAAGCAGAAGCUAAUCAGCACCAAGAGAAAGGAAUAAAGCAGACCUGUAGAAUGAACUAAAGGUGGACCUAGAACAAAAGGACAAGAUUCAUAUCUAGUCACAUCACCUUGGACAAUGCAUAGCACUCUAUUUGAUCACAUGGAAAGGCAUUAGGAAAACCUCGGAAAUUCCAUAUCACCCAGGCAUUUCUGGCCUCUGUGAAUGACAUAAGGUGAUUUGUGGAGAAUUUAGUGCUUUUUUCCCCUAAUUUAGACAUGGGAAGAGUAACCAGAUAUACCUGAAAACAAAUUUUUCUUAAUUUUUUAUUUCAGAGAGAGAGAGAGAGAGAGAGAGAGAGAGAGAGAGACAGAGAGAGAGACUGAGCAUGCAAACAAGGGAGAGGGACAGAGGGAGAGAGAGAGAACAAAUUUUGAGCAGGGCUCUAUCCCACGAUCCUGGGAUUAUGACCUGAACCGAAAUAAAGAGUUGGACACCCAACUGACUGAGCCGCCAAAGUGCCCCUCCCUGGAAAAUUUUUUUAACAGUAGGUAUCGUAAGAAUUAUUUGUUAGCUGUGUAGAUACAGAAAAAAAUUAAAACUCUUGAAAUUUAAAUCCUAUAAUCUUCAUGAAUUCUUCAGAACAUGAAUAAUCUUAUCAUAUAUAGCUUCUUAAAUAAAAGUUAAAAUGUAAGAACAAGCAGAGAACAGAAUGGCCAUGUUAGAUGUAGAGGCUGGGUGGUUCACUGGGUGCACUUACUAGCUAAAUUCCUUUAUGCCAAACAGUACUUUUAGAUGGCAGGCAAUUCAUAUCAAUUCCACAGCAGCGUUAGGAGUUAGCAUGGACCAUAGUCCUAUUGAGUUGCUUUGAGAACAAUUACAGCUGUAACUAUGAAAUCCAAGAUGGAUGGCAAGAAUAUACAAUGUUACAGAAAAGUAGAUUACAAAUGCAAAUAUCUUUAGGGGCCAAAUAGGUAACAAAAUGGAUAGAAUAAAUCCAGAUGAAAGAAAAAAGUGUGGACCAGAGAUUAUACAGGCAUUCAAAUUCUUCCUUUCCUUUUUCUUCUUGCUUUUUUGUUGUGCUAUUUGUUUAUUAAAAACAAUGGAUUGACAGGGCACCUGGGUGGCUCAAUCUGUUAAGCAUCUGAUUUCUGGAUUUCAGCUCGGGUCAUGUAUCAUGGUUCAUGAGAUCGAGCCCACUUUGGACUCUAUGCUGACAGCAUGGAGCCUGCUUGGGAUUCUUUCUCUCCCUUCCUCUCUGUCCCUCCCCCACUUGCCCUUUCUCUCUCUCUCAAAAUAAAUAAAUAAACACUUAAAAAAAAACACAAUCCCUAUCAAAAUACCAUCAGUAUUCUUUGCAGAGCUGGAACAAACAACGCUAAAAUUUGUAUGAAACCACAAAAGAGCCCAAAUAGUCAAAGCAGUCCUGAAAAAGAAAAACAAAACUGGGGGUAUCUCUGGAUUUUGAGCUAUAUUAUGAAGUUGUAGUGAUCAAGACAGUAUGGUACUGGCACAAAAACAGACACAUAGAUCAAUGGAAUAGAAUAGAAAACCGAGAAAUGGAUCCACAACUAUACGGUCAACUCAUCUUCAACAAAGCAGGAAGGAAUAUUCUGUGGAGAAAAGACAGUUUCUUUAACAAAUGGUGUUAGGAAAACCGGACAACUACAUGCAGAAGAAUGAACCUGGAACACUUUCUUAUACCGUACACAAAAAUAAAUUCAAAAUGGAUGAGAGACCUACAUAUAAGACAGGAAACUGUCAAAAUCCUAGAGGAGAACACAGGUAGUAACUUCUUUGACCUUGGCCAGAGCAACAUCUUAUUAGACACAUCACCAAAAGAAGGGAAACAAAAGCAUGAAUUACUGGGACUUUAUCAAGAUAAAAAGCUUCUGCACAGAGAAGGAAAAUAAUCAACGAAACUAAAAG